rnacentral:tRNA from 1 species
GGCAAGAUGGCCGAGCGGUCUAAGGCGCUAGCUUAAGGUCCAAUCAUAUCGUUGAUUGUGGUUUCGCUAGUCCGAAAGGGCGGUUAGUAUUCCUCUCCCUGAUCCCAGUAAUAACAUGUCACUGAUAUCCCUCUUAGUGGGUUCGAAUCCCACUCUUGUCA